UACGGAGGGGGCUAGCGUUGCUCGGAAUUACUGGGCGUAAAGCGCGCGUAGGCGGCCCGGUAAGUCCGCUGUGAAAGUCAAAGGCUCAACCUUUGAAUGUCAGCGGAUACUGCCGGGCUAGAGUCCGGAAGAGGCGAGUGGAACUCCUGGUGUAGCGGUGGAAUGCGCAGAUAUCAGGAAGAACACCAACGGCGAAGGCAGCUCGCUGGGACGGAACUGACGCUAAGGCGCGAAAGCGUGGGGAGCGAACAGG
rnacentral:rRNA from 1 species